rnacentral:rRNA from 1 species
UUCAGCAGGGAAGAAGCGUGAGUGACGGUACCUGCAGAAGAAGCGCCCGGGCUAACUACGUGCCAGCAGCCCGCGGUAAUACGUAGGGCGCAAGCGUUGUCCGGAAUUAUUGGGCGUAAAGAGCUCGUAGGCGGCUUGUCGCGUCGGAUGUGAAAGCCCCGGGGCUUAACUCCGGGUCUGCAUUCGAUACGGGCAGGCUAGAGUUCGGUAGGGGAGAUCGGAAUUCCUGGUGUAGCGGUGAAAUGCGCAGAUAUCAGGAGGAACACCGGUGGCGAAGGCGGAUCUCUGGGCCGAUACUGACGCUGAGGAGCGAAAGCGUGGGGAGCGAACAGGAUUAGAUACCCUGGUAGUCCACGCCGUAAACGUUGGGAACUAGGUGUGGGCGACAUUCCACGUUGUCCGUGCCGCAGCUAACGCAUUAAGUUCCCCGCCUGGGGAGUACGGCCGCAAGGCUAAAACUCAAAGGAAUUGACGGGGGCCCGCACAAGCGGCGGAGCAUGUGGCUUAAUUCGACGCAACGCGAAGAACCUUACCAAGGCUUGACAUACACCGGAAAACUCUGGAGACAGGGUCCCCCUUGUGGUCGGUGUACAGGUGGUGCAUGGCUGUCGUCAGCUCGUGUCGUGAGAUGUUGGGUUAAGUCCCGCAACGAGCGCAACCCUUGUCCUGUGUUGCCAGCGGGUUAUGCCGGGGACUCACAGGAGACUGCCGGGGUCAACUCGGAGGAAGGUGGGGACGACGUCAAGUCAUCAUGCCCCUUAUGUCUUGGGCUGCACACGUGCUACAAUGGCCGGUACAAUGAGCUGCGAAGCCGUGAGGUGGAGCGAAUCUCAAAAAGCCGGUCUCAGUUCGGAUUGGGGUCUGCAACUCGACCCCAUGAAGUCGGAGUCGCUAGUAAUCGCAGAUCAGCAUUGCUGCGGUGAAUACGUUCCCGGGCCUUGUACACACCGCCCGUCACGUCACGAAAGUCGGUAACACCCGAAGCCGGUGGCCCAACCCUUGUGGAGGGAGCCGUCGAAAGGGG